AAUCAUGCAUUCAACCCCUCCAAUUGCAACUUGCGACCCAGAAAUAUAAUUAAGCUCUAAGUGGCAACAUAUUACAACAUGCAGCAGCUUCUUAACACCAACACUACCUUUCUUGUUUCUCUUCUCCUAGUACUCAUCAUUGUAUCGUCUCCAGGCUCCAGCCAUGCCAUAAGAGAAAAUGUUCCUGUGACGUCUAUCACCCAAAACAAGGUGUUGUAUGUUGAUGCAAAGGAUUACAAUGAAGGGGGACCAAAUCAAGCUCACACCCCUCCAGGGAAAGGGAGCAAGGGAUGAAAGAAACAGUGUCUGUUCAAUCUCAGCUCAUUCCAUUCCCAAGCCUAGCUAGCUAGCUUCUUCCUUUUACUUUCUCAUCCCAUCAUGUUAUGACACCACAAUAUGGAGAAAAUAAAAAAAAAAAAGAAAAAGUAUUUAUCUCCUUUAAUUUGUACCUAAUUUGCACUUUGUUGGUCACCCACCAUUAUGUCAUUAUUAUGUGUGUUGAAACUUGAGAGGCAAAAGUAAAUCUAACUUCCUCUUCUAUCAAA